CGAUACGACCGUACCGCAAACCGACACUGGUGCGCGAGAUGAGUAUUCUAAGGCGCUUGAGAGAACUCAGGAGAAGGAACUCGGCAAAUUGACACCGUAACUUCGGAAGAAGGUGUGCCCUAUUAGUGUGUAGUGAACAACGAAGCAUGAAUGGGUUGCAAAAAAUCGGUGGCUGCGACUGUUUAUUAAAAACACAGCACUCUGCAAACACGAAAGUGGACGUAUAGGGUGUGACGCCUGCCCGGUGCUGGAAGAUUAAAUGAUGGGGUGCAAGCUCUUGAUUGAAGUCCCAGUAAACGGCGGCCGUAACAAUAACGGUCCUAAGGUAGCGAAAUUCCUUGUCGGGUAAGUUCCGACCUGCACGAAUGGCGUAACGAUGGCCACACUGUCUCCUCCUGAGACUCAGCGAAGUUGAAAUGUUUGUGAUGAUGCAAUCUCCCCGCGGAAAGACGGAAAGACCCCAUGAACCUUUACUGUAGCUUUGUAUUGGACUUUGAACAGAUCUGUGUAGGAUAGGUGGGAGGCUUUGAAGCAGGGUCGCUAGAUCUUGUGGAGCCAACGUUGAAAUACCACCCUGGUGUGUUUGAGGUUCUAACCUAGGUCCAUUAUCUGGAUCGGGGACAGUGCAUGGUAGGCAGUUUGACUGGGGCGGUCUCCUCCCAAAGCGUAACGGAGGAGUUCGAAGGUACGCUAGUUACGGUCGGACAUCGUGACGAUAGUGCAAUGGCAUAAGCGUGCUUAACUGCGAGACUGACAAGUCGAGCAGAUGCGAAAGCAGGACAUAGUGAUCCGGUGGUUCUGUAUGGAAGGGCCAUCGCUCAACGGACAAAAGGUACUCUGGGGAUAACAGGCUGAUACCGCCCAAGAGUUCAUAUCGACGGCGGUGUUUGGCACCUCGAUGUCGGCUCAUCUCAUCCUGGGGCUGUAGCCGGUCCCAAGGGUAUGGCUGUUCGCCAUUUAAAGAGGUACGUGAGCUGGGUUUAAAACGUCGUGAGACAGUUUGGUCCCUAUCUUCCGUGGGCGCUGCAGAUUUGAGGAAGCCUGCUCCUAGUACGAGAGGACCGGAGUGGACACACCUCUGGUGUAUCGGUUGUCACGCCAGUGGCAUUGCCGAGUAGCUAAGUGUGGAAGAGAUAACCGCUGAAAGCAUCUAAGCGGGAAACUCGUUUCAAGAUGAGAUCUGCCGGGGCCUUGAGCCCCCUAAAGAGUCGUUCAAGACCAGGACGUUGAUAGGUCAGGUGUGGAAGC
rnacentral:rRNA from 1 species